rnacentral:lncRNA from 1 species
UAGGCUUUCCUGUUCUGCUUCCUUAUUAUCUCUUGUCAAGCAAAACACACACAACAACUCAUAGAGAUGAUGGCAAAGCAGUCUUACAUAGGAACCGUGUCUUAGUUUACUUAGCUCUUGGGGUUCUUGUAGGAGGAGAUUGUUACCUUUACUCUAUUGGACUGCUUGUAGGAGGAGAUUGCUACCUUUACUCUAUUGGACUGCUUUACCUACCCGUUUCUACCUUUUCUCUGAUCUGUGCAUCUCAGUUAGCCUUCAACGCUUUCUUCUCUUAUUUCAUCAACUCACAAAAACUCACUCCAAUCAUUUUGAACUCUCUUUUGCUCCUAACUAUCUCUUCCACCCUCCUUGCCUUCAAUAGCGAGGAAUCAAAUUUCAGAAAAGUAACAAGAGGACAGUAUGUCACAAGUUUCAUAUGCACCAUUGGUGCUUCUGCUGGGUAUGGUCUAAGCUUAUCCUUACAACAGCUAGCCUUCAGUAAAGUCCUAAAGAGGCAAAAUUUCUCAGAAGUCAUGGAUUUGAUCAUCUACGUGAGUCUAGUGGCCAGCUGUGUAAGCGUGGUGGGGCUCUUUGCUAGUGGAGAGUGGGAAACUUUGAGCAGUGAAAUGGAUAGCUACAAGCCUGGAAAGGUAUCUUACGUUAUGAACCUAGUGUGGACGGCUGUUACCUGGCAGGUAUUCAACAUUGGUAGCACGUGGCUUAUCUUCGAGAUUUCCUCUCUAUUCUCAAAUGCUAUUGGCGUUUUGGGUUUGCCUGUGGUUCCUGUACUGGCUGUCAUCAUUUUUCAUGACAAAAUGAAUGGGUUAAAGGUGAUAUCUAUGAUCUUGGCUAUCUGGGGUUUCAUGUCCUAUGUCUACCAACACUAUCUUGAUGACAAAAACUUGAAGAAAAGUCUUGGAAUGCCAACAACCGGAUCCUCCGACUCACCAGAAGCAAAAGGGUCAAGUGCGCAAAAGAUACAAACUCCAGCGAGCUGAAGGCAGCCUACAAUAAAGAAUAAACACAAUAUAUUUGUGAUGCAACUCAAGUGAAGUCUUAGGGUGACUUAUUUUCCUAUUUGCAUCAUUGUAACAGUUAGUUGGUUUGGCUUAAACAAAUAAUGAAAUAUUGUGAUGUAGUUUUAAAAAAGACUACCUAAAUCAGAUUACCUCAGUGAAAUGGCAUCAACAACUCAGUAACUAAAACUUGAGUUCAAUGCUACGAAAGAUGGGGCUUAUACUGUAUAGAAAGAGAGGGUGUGCACCUUUGUAGCUAUUCUUAUUAUAACAUCUAGUCAGUUGUUAGUUAUAAGCCAUGGGUUUUAACUUUUAAGUAACUGAGCAAAAUAUUUAAAACAAACAUUUUUAUAACAAAAUUUGUCAAUUCUUGUGUAUAUUUCUAAAAUGAUUCAAGCAAACAUUAUUUACUUCUGAUGCAUCAUCAGUAGAUUACUGGCAAAAUAAAUACUUUUUCUUAGAGCCGCCAUUAAAGAAUUCUCCAAGUUAAGUGGAAGCAGAAAAAUCAAAGUUAAAAACUGGAGCAAGUGUGGUAUGUUGUGACUUCGGCCUCAGCAGCUAUUUCCUUGCAAGCCUAAAAUCCUUGCUUAAUGAGCCUUAUCCCGGCCCUAGCACUACCUCGAUGAAAAGAAGUUGAUGAAUUGCCACAGAAACCACGUCGACGAUGAUUCACAAAUUUGAUAAAUUAUUACACACAUUCGUGCAUGUAUCCUAUAUAAAGCUCGUUUGUGUAAUUUUUGUAAUGGUCCAUGCGAACGGGGUGCAUGUUUCUCUGUACAGCUUGAGCCUGUGUAUCAAAAUAGGCUGUUACUCCUGUCAAUUUUGGGAAAAUAGCUUUGAACAAUACGUAAGUGACCAGAAAUAAUGUAGCGACAUCAUCUGCCACCCAGGUAUUAUUAAUUAAGUUGCAAGAGAUAUAAUAAUGUCUUUUCUUGGAUAAAUAGGCAGACUUUAAUUCUCUGCCAUAUAAUAGCUUAACCUCACCUUUAUCUUCAUCAUCAUUAUCUUGAGGAGAAAAACUUUCAAGACUAGCCAAAGAGAAACCCCAAAAGUGUGUUCCUAAUUAAUCCACAUGUCUAAUCAUAAGAGAAAGAUAGGCACACGGCACAAGCCAAAUUAAUUCAUAGUGGCAAAGACGUUUCAAAACUAUCCAACUUAAGAUCAAACAGCUUGUCUAUAUGUUAUGUUGAUGUUUCUCCACUAAGAUGAAAAUGACAUUUUCCGUAUGUAUAUUGGCUACACUUUAUUUCCUACUUGACUUAACUCAUUACUUGGUCAACCAUUGUGACAUCUUCAAAAAUUAAAUUCAUGACAACGUAAGAGAUAUUUAUAGUUGAGCAUUCACUUAAUGUGGGGACAUGUUACAAUGAAUACUUAACAGUGAUCGGUUCCUAAUCACUUAAUAUAUAGCUAUCAUUUGGUAGCAUAUUAUUAACCAAGAUAAUUGAUAAUAAGAUAAAUAAUACUUCAAAACUCAUCCUUGUCCAUCUCCAAGGAGGUAUAUUCCACAUCCACCAUGAAGGGUGAUCAAGAACUACAAGUCAUCGGUGAGUAAGCAUCAACCAGUUCAUGGAGAACUACUUUAUGGUAUCUCAAUUAUUGUUCAAUAGAUGAAGAAACGUUAAAAGUGACAACCAAACUACGUUCAUAAACUAAUUUUUGUGCAAUAUUUUCCCUCACUUACCAGUUCAGCAGGGAAAAGAACCAAACCCAACAGUUCAAGAUGGAAGAAACUCGGUCGGUAGCAACCACACAAACAUAUACAAACGGUGGCUCAGGGUGAUUAUCUACACAUUCUUUGUCAUUUCAGGACAAUCUGUUGCUACAAUUCUAGGCAGACUAUACUAUGACAAUGGAGGAAACAGCAAAUGGCUAGCAACAGUAGUUCAACUUGUAGGCUUUCCUGUUCUGCUUCCAUAUUAUCUAUUUUCAAUCAAAACACACACAACAACUCAUAGAGAUGAUGACAAAGCAGCCUCACAUAGGAACCGUGUCUUAGUUUACUUAGCUCUUGGGGUUCUUGUAGGAGGAGAUUGCUACCUUUACUCCAUUGGACUACUUUACCUACCCGUUUCUACCUUUUCUCUGAUCUGUGCAUCUCAGUUAGCCUUCAACGCUUUCUUCUCUUAUUUCCUCAACUCACAAAAACUCACUCCAAUCAUUUUGAACUCUCUUUUGCUCCUAACUAUCUCUUCCACACUCCUAGCCUUCAAUAAUGAGGAAUCAAAUUUUAAAAAAGUAACAAGAGUACAGUAUGUCACAAGUUUCAUAUGCACCAUUGGUGCUUCUGCCGGAUUUGGUCUAGUCUUAUCAUUACAACA